rnacentral:rRNA from 1 species
UACGUAGGCAGCAAGCGUUGUUCGGAGUUACUGGGCGUAAAGGGUGUGUAGGCGGUCUCGUAAGUCUGGUGUGAAAUCUCCCGGCUCAACUGGGAGGGUGCGCCGGAAACUGCGAGGCUAGAGUGUGGGAUGGGAGAGUGGAAUUCCUGGUGUAGCGGUGAAAUGCGUAGAUAUCAGGAGGAACACCUGCGGUGUAGACGGCUCUCUGGACCACUACUGACGCUGAAACACGAAAGCGUGGGGAGCAAACAGG